CAAAAACAUAGCCCCUUGAACAUAUAAAGGGUCCCGCCUGCCCAGUGACCUCAAAGGUUAAACGGCCGCGGUAUCUUGACCGUGCAAAGGUAGCAUAAUCACUUGUCUUUUAAAUGGAGACCUGUAUGAACGGCAAAACCUUUUCAAACUGUCUCCCUCCCUAACCUUUUAAACUCCUUUUCACGCGAAGAAGCGUGAAUACAUCAGAAAGACGAGAAGACCCUGUCGAGCUUCAGCCAAUAAGUGAGCUAACAAAACCUAUGUGUUAACAUCACCCAAAGGCUUUGGUUGGGGUAACCAUGGAGAACAUUAAUCCUCCAGAACAAGCAGACGAACUCUCUUCCCUACUAAACGAACUAAAGAACCAGGAACUGGUAAUCGGAAAAAGUUACCGCAGGGAUAACAGCGUCAUCCCCUUUAAGAGUCCUUAUUGACAAGGGGGUUUGCGACCUCGAUGUUGGAUUGGGGCUCCCUUAGGGUGCAGAAGCUCUAAACGGUUAGACUGUUCGUCUAUUAAAGCCCUA
rnacentral:rRNA from 1 species